UGGAUGACUUGUGGGUAGCGGAGAAAUUCCAAACGAACUUGGAGAUAGCUGGUUCUCUCCGAAAUAGCUUUAGGGCUAGCCUUGAGUCAUUGUGUUGUGGGGGUAGAGCUACUGAUCUCGUUUGGGGCCCUUCCCAGGGUACCCUGCGUAACCAAACUCCGAAUACCACAACAUCUAUCUCAGGAGUCAGUCCACGUGGGAGAAGCUGCGUGGUCGAGAGGGAAACAACCCAGAUCGCCUGCUAAGGUCCCUAAAACUUGCUGAGUCACAAAGGAUGUCUGAAUACUGUGACAGCCGGGAUGUUGGCUUAGAAGCAGCCACCAUUUAAAAAGUGCGUAAUAGCUUACCGGUCGAGUAUUCUGGCACCGAUAAUGAACGGGAGUAAGCAAGUUGCCGAAGCAGCGGGCUUGAUCGUAGCGAUACGGUCGAGCGGUAGGAGAGCG
rnacentral:rRNA from 1 species